GACGAACGCUGGCGGCGUGCCUAAUACAUGCAAGUCGAACGCAGUGGGGACGGGUGAGUAACACGUGGGUAACCUCCCAUCAGAGGGGAUAACACUUGGAAACAGGUGCUAAACCGAUACUGAUGGAUGGCCCCGCGGUGCCUUCGCGAGUUGGUGAGGUAACGGCUCACCAAGGCCACGAUGCAUAGCCGGCCGGAGAGGCGGAUCGGCCGCACAGGGACUGAGACACGGCCCAGACGCCGAAGGGAGGCAGCAGUAGGGAAUCUUCGACAAUGGACGAAAGUCUGACCGAGCAACGCCGCGUGAGUGAAGAAGGUUUUCGGAUCGUAAAACUCUGUUGUUAGAGAAGCGGUAUCUAACCAGAAAGCCACGGCUAACUACGUGCCAGCAGCCGCGGUAAUAC
rnacentral:rRNA from 1 species